GACGAACGCUGGCGGCGUGCUUAACACAUGCAAGUCGAACGGAAAGGCCCUGCUUUUGUGGGGUGCUCAAGUGGCGAACGGGUGAGUAACACGUGAGUAACCUGCCCUUGACUUUGGGAUAACUUCAGGAAACUGGGGCUAAUACCGGAUAGGAGCUCCUGCUGCAUGGUGGGGGUUGGAAAGUUUCGGCGGUUGGGGAUGGACUCGCGGCUUAUCAGCUUGUUGGUGGGGUAGUGGCUUACCAAGGCUUUGACGGGUAGCCGGCCUGAGAGGGUGACCGGCCACAUUGGGACUGAGAUACGGCCCAGACUCCUACGGGAGGCAGCAGUGGGGAAUAUUGCACAAUGGGCGGAAGCCUGAUGCAGCAACGCCGCGUGCGGGAUGACGGCCUUCGGGUUGUAAACCGCUUUCGCCUGUGACGAAGCGUGAGUGACGGUAAUGGGUAAAGAAGCACCGACUAACUACGUG
rnacentral:rRNA from 1 species